GCCAUGCGGGGAGUCUAUACAUGCAAGUCGAGCGACAGAGAAGGAGCUUGCUCCUUUGACGUUAGCGGCGGAGGGGAGUAACACGUGGGCAACCUACCUUAUAGUUUGGGAUAACUCCGUGGAAACCGGGGCUAAUACCGAAUAAUCUGUUUCACCUCAUGGUGAAAUAUUGAAAGACGGUUUCGGCUGUCGCUAUAGGAUGGGCCCGCGGCGCAUUAGCUAGUUGGUGAGGUAACGGCUCACCAAGGCGACGAUGCGUAGCCGACCUGAGAGGGUGAUCGGCCACACUGGGACUGAGACACGGCCCAGACUCCUACGGGAGGCAGCAGUAGGGAAUCUUCCACAAUGGGCGAAAGCCUGAUGGAGCAACGCCGCGUGAGUGAAGAAGGUUUUCGGUUCGUAAAACUCUGUUGUAAGGGAAGAACAAGUACAGUAGUAACUGGCUGUACCUUGACGGUACCUUAUUAGAAAGCCACGGCUAACUACGUGCCAGCAGCCGCGGUAAUACGUAGGUGGCAAGCGUUGUCCGGAAUUAUUGGGCGUAAAGCGCGCGCAGGUGGUUUCUUAAGUCUGAUGUGAAAGCCCACGGCUCAACCGUGGAGGGUCAUUGGAAACUGGGAGACUUGAGUGCAGAAGAGGAUAGUGGAAUUCCAAGUGUAGCGGUGAAAUGCGUAGAGAUUUGGAGGAACACCAGUGGCGAAGGCGACUAUCUGGUCUGUAACUGACACUGAGGCGCGAAAGCGUGGGGAGCAAACAGGAUUAGAUACCCUGGUAGUCCACGCCGUAAACGAUGAGUGCUAAGUGUUAGGGGGUUUCCGCCCUCUUAGUGCUGCAGCUAACGCAUUAAGCACUUCCGCCUGGGGGAGUACGGGUCGCAAGACUGAAACUCAAAGGAAAUUGACCGGGGGCCCCGCCACAAGGCGGUGGGAGCCAUGUGCUUUAAAUUUCGAAGCAAACGCGGAGAAAGCGUUACCCAGGUCUUGAACAAUUCCCGUUGACCCCACUGCUAGAAGAAUUAUGGAUUCCCAUUCCGGGGCUACGGGUGACAGGUGGGUGCCAAUGGGUUUGGUUG
rnacentral:rRNA from 1 species